rnacentral:rRNA from 1 species
UACGUAGGGACCAAGCGUUGUUCGGAUUUACUGGGCGUAAAGGGCGCGUAGGCGGCGUGACAAGUCACUUGUGAAAUCUCCGGGCUUAACUCGGAACGGUCAAGUGAUACUGUUGUGCUAGAGUACAGAAGGGGCAAUCGGAAUUCUCGGUGUAGCGGUGAAAUGCGUAGAUAUCAAGAGGAACACCAGAGGUGAAGGCGGAUUGCUGGGCUGAUACUGACGCUGAGGCGCGAAAGCUAGGGUAGCAAACGGG